AGUGAACGCUGGCGGUAGGCCUAACACAUGCAAGUCGAACGGCAGCACAGUAAGAGCCUGCUCUUACGGGUGGCGAGUGGCGGACGGGUGAGGAAUACAUCGGAAUCUACUUUUUCGUGGGGGAUAACGUAGGGAAACUUACGCUAAUACCGCAUACGACCUACGGGUGAAAGCAGGGGAUCUUCGGACCUUGCGCGAUUGAAUGAGCCGAUGUCGGAUUAGCUAGUUGGCGGGGUAAAGGCCCACCAAGGCGACGAUCCGUAGCUGGUCUGAGAGGAUGAUCAGCCACACUGGAACUGAGACACGGUCCCGACUCCUACGGGAGGCAGCAGUGGGGAAUAUUGGACAAUGGGCGCAAGCCUGAUCCAGCCAUACCGCGUGGGUGAAGAAGGCCUUCGGGUUGUAAAGCCCUUUUGUUGGGAAAGAAAAGCAGCAGGUUAAUACCCCGCUGUUCUGACGGUACCCAAAGAAUAAGCACCGGCUAACUUCGUG
rnacentral:rRNA from 1 species